rnacentral:rRNA from 1 species
GUUAUAUAGUCAAGCAACUAAGCGCAUACGGUGGAUGCCUUGGCAGUCAGAGGCGA